rnacentral:ncRNA from 1 species
AUAAAUAGCAAACUCUAUGAAAAUGGAGGACGCAAAGCUGCGAGUCUAAAGCUGUUUAAGCCAUGAUAGUCGGGUUGCUGA